rnacentral:rRNA from 1 species
UACGUAGGGUGCAAGCGUUGUCCGGAAUUAUUGGGCGUAAAGAGCUCGUAGGCGGUCUGUCACGUCUGCUGUGAAAACUCGGGGCUUAACCCCGGGCCUGCAGUGGGUACGGGCAGACUAGAGUGCGGUAGGGGAGACUGGAAUUCCUGGUGUAGCGGUGAAAUGCGCAGAUAUCAGGAGGAACACCGGUGGCGAAGGCGGGUCUCUGGGCCGUAACUGACGCUCAUGCACGAAAGCGUGGGGAGCGAACAGG